rnacentral:lncRNA from 1 species
AGAUUUCUUGCUCCCAUUUCUCUUGCUAACAACAUUCCUGCGAUCAGGGCCUCAUACUCCGCCUGAUUGUUGCUAGCUUUGAAGGCAAAGCGGAGGGACUGCUCGAUCAGUACCCCAUUUGGUCCUUCCAGGAUGACUCCCGCGCCGCUUCCCUGCUGAUUAGAGGAGCCAUCCACCGAUAACACCCAUCGGAAAUUUAGCCCUUCUGUAGGUGUCGCGAUUGAUGAUAGCUCGACUACGAA